rnacentral:rRNA from 1 species
GGAAAGAUUAAUGGCAGUCGAGGGGCAUCGGGAGGGAGCUUGCUUUCCUUGCCGGCGACCGGCGCACGGGUGAGCAACACGUAUGCAACCUGCCCUCUUCAGGGGGACAACCUUCCGAAAGGGAGGCUAAUCCCGCGUAUAUCGGUUUCGGGCAUCCGGGAUCGAGGAAAGAUUCAUCGGAAGAGGAUGGGCAUGCGGCGCAUUAGCUUGACGGCGGGGUAACGGCCCACCGUGGCGACGAUGCGUAGGGGUUCUGAGAGGAAGGUCCCCCACACUGGUACUGAGACACGGACCAGACUCCUACGGGAGGCAGCAGUGAGGAAUAUUGGUCAAUGGGAGAGAUCCUGAACCAGCCAAGCCGCGUGAGGGAAGACGGCCCUAUGGGUUGUAAACCUCUUUUGUCGGAGAACAAAACCCGGGACGUGUCCCGGACUGCGUGUAUCCGAAGAAAAAGCAUCGGCUAACUCCGUGCCAGCAGCCGCGGUAAUACGGAGGAUGCGAGCGUUAUCCGGAUUUAUUGGGUUUAAAGGGUGCGUAGGCGGUCCGUUAAGUCAGCGGUAAAAUUGCGGGGCUCAACCCCGUCGAGCCGUUGAAACUGGCAGACUUGAGUUGGCGAGAAGUACGCGGAAUGCGCGGUGUAGCGGUGAAAUGCAUAGAUAUCGCGCAGAACUCCGAUUGCGAAGGCAGCGUACCGGCGCCAGACUGACGCUGAGGCACGAAAGCGUGGGGAUCGAACAGGAUUAGAUACCC